UACGAAGGAUGCAAGCGUUAUCCGGAUUUAUUGGGUUUAAAGGGUGCGUAGGCGGGCUUAUAAGUCAGUGGUGAAAGCUUCCGGCUUAACCGGGAAAUUGCCAUUGAUACUGUAAGUCUUGAGUAUGGUUGAAGUGGGCGGAAUGUGCAGUGUAGCGGUGAAAUGCUUAGAUAUUGCACAGAACACCGAUUGCGAAGGCAGCUCGCUAAGCCAUAACUGACGCUGAGGCACGAAAGCAUGGGGAUCAAACAGG
rnacentral:rRNA from 1 species